rnacentral:lncRNA from 10 species
GAAUCAUAAACUUAAUCAGGGGACUCUUGCCUUACAUGGCUUCAUUUUUAUUCGUACCCUUUUCAUUACCUAACAGUAUAUUAUACAGUUACUCAUUUCUUUAUUGUCAUCCUACAACAGAAUGUAUGUUCCAGGACAGCAGGCACUUAACACUGUUCAACACUGUAUGACUGCAACAGUGCCUGGCAUAAAGCAGGCAUCAAAAAAUUUGAUCUACUAACAAACAGAGAUAAUGCUGUAAAAUUAAGUUAAAAUCCCAAAUAAAUUUAUACCAAAGACAAGUUGGAGCAAUCAAAUCAAUUGUUACAAUUUCCUUU